AGUCAACAACUCCCAAAGACCGGUCAAAUCGCCAAUAAGGCAUAGUCAUGCCAACUAAAGGCCGGUCAAAAGAGUCAAAAGGGUCAAACCUCCCAUGCCAUGGUCAAAGGAGCUAGAGUAGGGGCCAAGAAAGCUCUAGGAAUGAAUUUACCAUUUUACUCUCACUUUCUCUCUCCUUCAAAGGUAGACAUGAUCUUUUGUCAUGAACUCCUAGGCUAUAAAUAUUCCCUUAUGGGGGCAUGUAAGAUACACACUUCAUUGGAAUAAGAUGAAAGGGGAGAGGGCUAGAGGAACCUAAGAAGCCCGCUGUCGAUUACUUGGGUCGAGCCUAGUCUCGACUCGACCUCGGGGACGCGACUUGAAAAGCCUAGUUUUGAGGUUCCGGGCCGUCUAGUAUGACCUCAACUCGAAGUAGAGGGAUCGGGUUAGAGUCUCGAGGGUAUCCCCACCUUGCUACUUGGGAAGACAAGUUCGGCCCAAGUUCGAGGCGGCCCAUAGAGAUCUCUCGCCAUAGGUGAUUUGGGAAGACGAGUUCGGCCCAAACACUUGGCUAACAACCCCCUUGAAGCUUCUCUUAACAUAGGACUAAGUCGUACCCGCAGGGUUGACCGAACCUAUUAAAACAAUAUCGACGUGUCAACUUGUCCAAAGUGACCUUCGCUAUAAGCCGGCGUACACCCCCUGCAUACCAUUCUCGCACUUGUGCGAUCGAGCAUUGGCAUCCCGCACUCCUGUUGUUUUCUAGAACACAACACAACCUAUUAAGGGAUUCAUUGGUUUCUUGGUUAGCUGGUGAAAGUAUUUUCAUGCUUUCUGGUCAUAGAUGAGGAACAUUGCGGAACACAUUUUGUUUUUUGUUUUUUGAGAGCAUGGGAAGUCCAUCUUAUCUACAUACUUUGAGAGAACAGAUUUUGGCAAAAUUUCUAAUUCAUGUACUACGCCAUUCCCUUGAUCGGUAAUGCUGUCUCUUUUGUUAUUUGAUUAUGUCCUUUCUAGAAUAAUACUAUGAGCUACACUCCUUCAAUUUUAUUAAAUCUUGCUUAUGGACUAGCUAGCGGGUGAUGCACGAAUUUCCAUGGUUCAGCAUAUCAAUUGAAGUUCUGAACAAUCUGUUUUUCUUUCUGUUCUGUUCACAUGGUGGCAUUGCCGAAGGAAGGGCUAAGGUGCUCGACAAUGCUAACGAGAAGAUUUGCUCUUGUUUUAGAAGAAAAAACUAAGCUGGCUGUCUGUUUUCUAUUUAUGGUAGACAUUUUGUCAUGAACUCCUAGGCUAUAAAUAUUCCCUUAUGGGGCAUGUAAGAUACACACUUCAUUGGAAUAAGAUGAAAGGGGAAAGGGCUAGAGGAACCUAAGAAGCCCGCUGUCGAUUACUUGGGUCGAGCCUAGUCUCGACUCGACCUCGGGGACGCGACUUG
rnacentral:lncRNA from 1 species